GAUGUAGAACGUAGCGAAAUGCGAUAAGUAGUGUGAAUUGCAGAAUUCAGUGAAUCAUCGAAUCUUUGAACGCACAUUGCGCCCCUUGGUAUUCCAUGGGGCAUGCCUGUUCGAGCGUCAUUUGUACCUUCAAGCUCUGCUUGGUGUUGGGUGUUUGUCUCGCCUCCGCGUGUAGACUCGCCUCAAAACGAUUGGCAGCCGGCGUAUUGAUUUCGGAGCGCAGUACAUCUCGCGCUUUGCACUCACAACGACGGCGUCCAGAAGUACAUUUUUACACUCUUGACCUCGGAUCAGGUAGGGAUACCCGCUGAACUUAAGCAUAUCAAUAACGGAGGA
rnacentral:misc_RNA from 1 species